rnacentral:rRNA from 1 species
AUCAUUACCGAGUUGAUUCGAGCUCCGGCUCGACUCUCCCACCCAAUGUGUACCUACCUCUGUUGCUUUGGCGGGCCGCGGUCCUCCGCACCGGCGCCCUUCGGGGGGCUGGCCAGCGCCCGCCAGAGGACCAUAAAACUCCAGUCAGUGAACUUUGCAGUCUGAGAAACAAGUUAAUAAACUAAAACUUUCAACAACGGAUCUCUUGGUUCUGGCAUCGAUGAAGAACGCAGCGAAAUGCGAUAAGUAAUGUGAAUUGCAGAAUUCAGUGAAUCAUCGAAUCUUUGAACGCACAUUGCCCCCUUGGUAUUCCGAGGGGCAUGCCUGUUCGAGCGUCAUUUCAACCCUCAAGCUCUGCUUGGUAUUGGGCUCCGUCCUCCACGGACGCGCCUUAAAGACCUCGGCGGUGGCGUCUUGCCUCAAGCGUAGUAGAAAACACCUCGCUUUGGAGCGCACGGCGUCGCCCGCCGGACGAACCUUUGAAUUAUUUCUCAAGGUUGACCUCGGAUC